ensembl:lncRNA
CCCCCCCCCCCGCGAAGGUCACCCCCCCAGGGGGACAGAGCGCCGCACAACCCCGCGUCUCUGGGAUUCUCUCCACUCCUGGAGGCCCCGGAAGGUCGCGUCCAUUCGGAUGCCGUCGCUUGUCCACUGCCUCUCUGUCUGGGGUUCCCUCUGGGUUCCUGAGCCCACACGUGAGCUCCUUCUGUCUCAUCCCACUGACCAGCCCCGGGUCAGCUUCCAGGGGCGCCAGCGCCGGGCAGGCCCCGCCUCGCCCCUCGCUGGGUGCCCCAAAGACGUGCGUCUCUACCGCCUUUGACCUGCAGCUUGAAGCCACACCUGCGUGGGGCCUGUCAUCACAUAGUUCCUCUCCUGUGCAGUUUUCUCAGGACUCACAUCUUCCCAGUUCUGCAGUCUAGACGCGACAGCUGCGUGGGAAGCCCUGCCCAACGCGCCAUCCACUCCCUACCUGCCUCUGCCCCCCUGCCUCCCCACCCCCAUCGUGACCUGCAUGGAUCAGGGGAAGCGGGGACCCUGUUUCACCUCUUCGCACGAAUGCUGAGCUGGAAAGACACUAGGAGGAAGGGGGUGGAAAAACUGAGGCACAAGGUGAUUGUCCGAGGACCCCUGGAAGCCCUAGGGCUGUGGCUUGGACAUUGGUGGGCUCUGUCCCCGUGUAUACUGCUACCCCUUGCCCAGUCUUUUCCCCAUCUCUGCCCUGUGCCCUGAUGCAAGGGGCAGAGCCAGCCACCUUUACUAACCGCCACCCCACAGCAGCCGAGGCCAGCACAUGGCUAGUGUCCAUGACCCUUCUACCUGCCAGGCCAACUGGACCUAUAGAAUCGGUACCUUGGAGCCGGUGCCAGACCCACACCAGGUUCGCAGUCAGCCCCAGGUGGAAUGCCCAGAUCCAGGCCACGACGUGCGUCAGCUCCCAGAGCCACGGCUGCCCCUGGAGGAAGUGCUCCGCCCUCCCUGACACACGGUGCCGUGAGGGCCCGGCGCUCCCACUGCUGCUCCUGCUCGGGCCGACAGGCGGGAGCCAGCAGGAGCCCCUGGGGGUGUGCAUGGAGCGCGGGAAGGCCAGGUGGGGCUUCAUGGGACCCGAGGCUUCGCCACGUCAGGGCAGGCUCAGGAGCCUUGACAGGCCUGGCUGGAGCCAGGGCCCGUGGGCUUGGCUCCCUACUCCUCCCUGA